GACGAACGCUGGCGGCGUGCCUAAUACAUGCAAGUCGAACGAAGAGCGACGGAAGUUUGCCCCUAUCAAUCAUCGUGGCAAGGGGGAGUGAAACGUGGAAAAAAUCUGUCUUAGAGAGGGGGAACAUAGGGGGAAACGAGCUAUAAUAGCAUAAAAGAUCUAAUCACAGCAUUGAGGAUGGAUGGAAGCUGUUGCCUACAUGUAAGCUAUUACCGCAGGAGGUGAUUGAGUUUGAUAAGCUAGUUGGGGGGGUAACGGCCCACCAUGGCGAUGAUAAGUAGCCGGGCUGAGAGGGUGAGCGGCCACACUGGGAAUGAGACACGGCCCAGACUCCUACGGGAGGCAGCAGUGGGGAAUCUUCCGCAAUGGACGAAAGUCUGACGGAGCAACGCCGCGUGAGUGAUGACGGCCUUCGGGUUGGAAAACUCUGUUAGUCGAGAAGAAAGGCCUUGUGGCGAAAAGUGUGAACGAUUGACGGUAACGGAAUAGAAAGGCACGGCUAACUACGUG
rnacentral:rRNA from 1 species